rnacentral:rRNA from 1 species
CAGUAGCCACGGUAAUACAGAGGGUGCAAACGUUGUUCGGAAUUACUGGGCGUAAAGCGUGUGUAGGCGGCCUUGCAAGUCGGAUGUGAAAGCCCCGGGCUCAACCCGGGAAGUGCACCCGAAACUGCAAGGCUUGAGUACCGGAGAGGUUGGUGGAAUUCUCGGUGUAGAGGUGAAAUUCGUAGAUAUCGAGAGGAACACCGGUGGCGAAGGCGGCCAACUGGACGAGUACUGACGCUGAGACACGAAAGCGUGGGUAGCAAACAGGAUUAGAUACCCCUGUAGUCCCUGUCUCUUAUAC